UACGAAGGGGGCUAGCGUUGCUCGGAAUUACUGGGCGUAAAGCGUGCGUAGGUGGUUUGUUAAGUCUGAUGUGAAAGCCCUGGGCUCAACCUGGGAAUUGCAUUGGAUACUGGCAGGCUAGAGUGCGGUAGAGGGUAGUGGAAUUCCCGGUGUAGCAGUGAAAUGCGUAGAGAUCGGGAGGAACAUCCGUGGCGAAGGCGACUACCUGGACCAGCACUGACACUGAGGCACGAAAGCGUGGGGAGCAAACAGG
rnacentral:rRNA from 1 species